UUCUCUGCAAUUGGAACUGAGAUUGUUGUAGUUGAUGAUGAAGAAUGUUUCAUGAUCAAGCAAGUUUAUAUUAGACCA